GACGCUACAAUGGCCGGUACAAUGGGUUGCCAAACCGCGAGGUGGAGCCAAUCCCAUCAAAGCCGGUCCCAGUUCAGAUUGCAGUCUGCAACUCGACUGCAUGAAGUCGGAAUUGCUAGUAAUCGCGAAUCAGCACGUCGCGGUGAAUACGUUCUCGGGUCUUGUACACACCGCCCGUCAGGGCACGGGAGUCGCUCUUGCUCGAAGUUCCCGAAUAAUUCGGGACCGAAAGUUAAGGGUGGCAACCAGGCUUAAGUCGUAACAAGGUAGCCGUAGA
rnacentral:rRNA from 1 species